UACGUAGGUCCCGAGCGUUGUCCGGAUUUAUUGGGCGUAAAGCGAGCGCAGGUGGUUUAUUAAGUCUGGUGUAAAAGGCAGUGGCUACCAUUGUAUGCAUUGGAAACUGGUAGACUUGAGUGCAGGAGAGGAGAGUGGAAUUCCAUGUGUAGCGGUGAAAUGCGUAGAUAUAUGGAGGAACACCGGUGGCGAAGGCGGCCAACUGGGCUUUAACUGACGCUGAGGCUCGAAAGUGUGGGGAGCAAACAGG
rnacentral:rRNA from 1 species